rnacentral:snRNA from 1 species
GUACUAUUAUGGUGUAUUUUGUAACUUUAAUAAACAAAAUCUCUGUUCUUAUCAGCUUAAUAUCUGAUACGGGUCCUAUUUGGACCCAAGAUAUUAAACUCAUUUUUGGAAUUGGGCGGAGUGCUUGAAGCUUGCUUCACCUCCGCCACGGGUUGGCCCGGUAUUGCAAAGCCUCCGGGAUCGGCCCACUCACC